rnacentral:rRNA from 1 species
UACGGGGGGAGCAAGCGUUGUUCGGAUUUACUGGGCGUAAAGGGCGCGUAGGCGGCAUGACAAGUCACUUGUGAAAUCUCCGGGCUUAACUCGGAACGGCCAAGUGAUACUGUCAAGCUAGAGUGCAGAAAGGGCAAUCGGAAUUCUUGGUGUAGCGGUGAAAUGCGUAGAUAUCAAGAGGAACACCUGAGGCGAAGGCGGGUUGCUAGGCUGACACUGACGCUGAAGCGCGAAAGCUAGGGGAGCAAACGGG